UAAAAUGAUGACUAAUGGGCCGUUUGCAAUGUGCAUGAAAUUACAUUCUGAACAGCCGAGAGCAGCCAACGUGAGGCCUCUGCAGAGAGAAUUUGGCAUCCAUCUAUCACUUCCAUGUGAGACAAUCUGGAGGCUCUUGCAUUAUUCUCUGCUGUAACCAAGAAAACAAACAAAAGCCUUGCGCCGCCUCACUGAGCAACAGUCGGUCACUGGAAAGGAACUAGAACCAAGAGACCAUACCUUACAUUUUGUUCACGUGUUUCUGAAGCCCGGGUGCUCAUCGGGAGUCCACCAUUCGAUUAAAACUUAACCAAGUCAGCUCAGAGGUUGUGUAAUUAAAAGACUCUGCACACAGGCAGUCCCAUCUCCUGAUGUCUUAAGGGUUUUGAACAGAAUAAAGGGAUUCCAGGACAUUUUCUCAUCUUUGUCCUGUGUUUGCAGAGGCGUGUGUUUUCCUGAGAUGGAAAUCUAGGAGACAGCACAGUAGGAGAAAUCCUUCAUUUGUCCCCAUAGACAAUCUUCAAGGAGUGCUGGCCACCCACAUGCUAGGUGCUGUUCAUUCGCUAGGAUUUUUCCAAAUAAGAUUUGACAGGGCCCUCGCGCCCCUUCUCGGGAGGUAAAUGCAACAAUUGAAACAGAGAGGUUGAGUGACUUGUACAAUAUCACACAGCUGGUUACCGAGGACCACACUAUGUAAAAAUGACACCUAGAGUUCCUCUAGUUUUGUGGCUCAGGAGUCCCUGAGCAAAAUCCUACAGCAUAAAGGAGAGAGAUACUCAGGCUGAGGCAAAGGGAAAGGGGCCUCUUAAGGCACGGGCAGUGUUUCUAAGGGCGGUGAACAGUCUCCUUAGAGAUGUGU
rnacentral:lncRNA from 1 species